UAAGAUGUCAUGAAAAUGAAUACGUAUUAAAGAUAAUGAGAACAUCUAUUAUUCAGGUGCAUGUUACUCCUCGCUGUAGGCCAUCUUUAUUGUUAAAUUGUUGCACUGUGCAUAUCCACAAGGCCAUCUUGUAAAUUUAUUACGAAUUAUUAAUCUUGCUCAACCGGUGGUUGACCAUUUAAAAAUGACAUGUUCUGACUAACAUUAAGUGGGAAUAUUUAUUUAUGGACAAUCUGGCCAUACCUGUUUUUCUGCACACGGCGCUAAAUACUUUUCCGGUUUAUCAUGGCGGGACCAUUUGUAUUCGUUAAUGUCUUUGCACACGGUAUUUUGGAUUUACACACGUGGUGUCUUGUUGGAAUUUAUAUUAAGAGUGUUUGCCGGCUAAUUUUACAAUUCUUUCCGAAACUCCAAAAAAAGAAAGACAAAUACUCAACACUGCUAUUUUGAUCAGUCAUCAAUUGAAAAUGUCUUCAACUGGAAAAACGUGUAGUCUAACAACAGGAAACAAGUGUGGAUGUGGUGAUAACUGUGAGUGUGGAGAUAGCUGUGUAUGUAGUCCUAAGAUGAAAGGAUCAUGUAGUUGUUCAUCUGGAGGAAAUUGUACAUGUGGAGAUUCAUGCGCAUGUACCACUGAAUGCGGUUGUGGGACUGAAUGUGGAAAAUCUAAAUCCUCUUAGCAGUUGAUUGAAACCAUUUUAG